rnacentral:rRNA from 1 species
GACGAACGCUGGCGGCGUGCUUAACACAUGCAAGUCGAACGGAAAGGCCCUGCUUUUGUGGGGUGCUCGAGUGGCGAACGGGUGAGUAACACGUGAGUAACCUGCCCUUGACUUUGGGAUAACUUCAGGAAACUGGGGCUAAUACCGGAUAGGAGCUCCUGCUGCAUGGUGGGGGUUGGAAAGUUUCGGCGGUUGGGGAUGGACUCGCGGCUUAUCAGCUUGUUGGUGGGGUAGUGGCUUACCAAGGCUUUGACGGGUAGCCGGCCUGAGAGGGUGACCGGCCACAUGGGGACUGAGAUACGGCCCAGACUCCUCCGGGAGGCAGCAGUGGGGACUAUUGCACAAUGGGCGGAGGCCUGAUGCAGCAACGCCGCGUGCGGGAUGACGGCCUUCGGGUUGUAAACCGCUUUCGCCUGUGACGAAGCGUGAGUGACGGUAUGGGUAAAGAAGCACCGGCUAACUACGUG